UACGUAGGGGGCAAGUGUUGUCCGGAAUCAUUGGGCGUAAAGCGCGUGUAGGCGGCUCGAUAAGUCUGCUGUGAAAGUCCAAGGCUCAACCUUGGGAUGCCGGUGGAUACUGUCGAGCUCGAGUCCGGAAGAGGAGUGUGGAAUUCCUGGUGUAGCGGUGAAAUGCGCAGAUAUCAGGAGGAACACCAAUGGCGAAGGCAGCACUCUGGGACGUGACUGACGCUGAGACGCGAAAGCGUGGGGAGCAAACAGG
rnacentral:rRNA from 1 species